GAUGAAGAACGUAGCGAAAUGCGAUAAGUAAUGUGAAUUGCAGAAUUCAGUGAAUCAUCGAAUCUUUGAACGCACCUUGCGCCCUUUGGCCAUUCCGAAGGGCAUGCCUGUUUGAGUAUCAUGAACACCUCAACUCUUUAUGGUUUUCCAUGAUGAGCUUGGACUUUGGGGGUUUUGCUGGCCUAUGGUCGGCUCCUCUAAAAUAAAUCAGCUUACCGGUGUUUGGUGGGUAUCAUGGGUGUGAUAACUAUCUACGCUUGUGGUUUUUCCACCAGGUAACCUUCGACAGCGGAGGUUCACUGGAGCUCAUAGAUGUCUCUCCUCAGCGAGGACAGCCCUUUGAAUGUUUGAUCUCAAAUCAGGUAGUACUACCCGCUGAACUUAAGCAUAUCAAUAAGCGGAGGA
rnacentral:misc_RNA from 1 species